rnacentral:rRNA from 1 species
UACGAAGGGGGCUAGCGUUGUUCGGAAUUACUGGGCGUAAAGCGCACGUAGGCGGAUAUUUAAGUCAGGGGUGAAAUCCCAGAGCUCAACUCUGGAACUGCCUUUGAUACUGGGUAUCUUGAGUAUGGACGAGGUGAGUGGAAUUCCGAGUGUAGAGGUGAAAUUCGUAGAUAUUCGGAGGAACACCAGUGGCGAAGGCGGCUCACUGGUCCAUUACUGACGCUGAUGCGCGAAAGCUAGGGGAGCAACAGG